CGCUGGCGGCAGGCCUAACACAUGCAAGUCGAGCGGAUGAAGGGAGCUUGCUCCCUGAUUUAGCGGCGGACGGGUGAGUAAUGCCUAGGAAUCUGCCUGGUAGUGGGGGAUAACGUUCCGAAAGGAACGCUAAUACCGCAUACGUCCUACGGGAGAAAGCAGGGGACCUUCGGGCCUUGCGCUAUCAGAUGAGCCUAGGUCGGAUUAGCUAGUUGGUGAGGUAAUGGCUCACCAAGGCGACGAUCCGUAACUGGUCUGAGAGGAUGAUCAGUCACACUGGAACUGAGACACGGUCCAGACUCCUACGGGAGGCAGCAGUGGGGAAUAUUGGACAAUGGGCGAAAGCCUGAUCCAGCCAUGCCGCGUGUGUGAAGAAGGUCUUCGGAUUGUAAAGCACUUUAAGUUGGGAGGAAGGGCAGUAAGUUAAUACCUUGCUGUUUUGACGUUACCGACAGAAUAAGCACCGGCUAACUUCGUGCCAGCAGCCGCGGUAAUACGAAGGGUGCAAGCGUUAAUCGGAAUUACUGGGCGUAAAGCGCGCGUAGGUGGUUCGUUAAGUUGGAUGUGAAAGCCCCGGGCUCAACCUGGGAACUGCAUCCAAAACUGGCGAGCUAGAGUACGGUAGAGGGUGGUGGAAUUUCCUGUGUAGCGGUGAAAUGCGUAGAUAUAGGAAGGAACACCAGUGGCGAAGGCGACCACCUGGACUGAUACUGACACUGAGGUGCGAAAGCGUGGGGA
rnacentral:rRNA from 1 species